rnacentral:lncRNA from 10 species
CGGAGGCGGGUUCUGGACAGACCUACGCUGUCGGGGAGUGUUUACUUCGCCUCCACUUCUGUUCCUCCCCGCCCUGGUGCUGCUCCAGGUCACAUACUCUUCCUGAGCCGGCUUCAGCCUCUCCGCGCAGAAGUCUCCCGGAGCCAUGGCCUAGUAUUCUUAUGUGAAGUCUACCAAGCUUGUGCUCAAGGGAACCGAGAUUUGCCUGAGGUUGACUGUACAUGCAAAUAUUGAGCUUUCCUCCUGGCCUCCGUGAUAAACAGAAGUUUUGAUAUUGUUAGGCGAGAUGGAAAGAAAGUAUCAAGGAGUGAGCUGAAGCCACUGCCCUUGAGAACCCUCUCGAGGAGUCUGGCCUCAUGAAGAUGCCAGAAUAAAUGGCAGUAAGAAGAAAAAGAGCAAAGAUAAGAAGAGAAAAAGAGAAGAUGAAGAAACCCAGCUUGAUAUGUUGGAAUCUGGUGAACAGUAACAAACUUUGGUGAAAUUUCAGGAACCAUAGCCAUUGAAGUGGAUGAGGGAACCUAUAUACAUGCACUCAACAAUGGUCUUUUUACCCUGGGAGCUCCACACAAAGAAGAAUCGCCCUGAAACCUGGCUAUGGAAAAUAUCUUAGUAUAAAUUCAGAUGAACUUGUUGUUGGCGUUCAGAUGCAAUUGGACCAAGAGAACAAUGGGAACCAGUCUUUCAAAAUGAUGGCCAUCCAGUAAUGAGAAUGAACAGUCUCCAACUAAAGGCAACAAUAUAGAUGAAUCUCGGAAACAUGAUAUUGACCAGACAGAAAAGAUUCCACUUACAUAAACUUCAAAAGAAGAUAAAACUGAUCUAUGACAUUAAUAGUCAGAAUAUUCAUUAUCCUUGAGGGAACUAAACUGGGAAGCCACAUGAUAGGGCAUCUGGAAGCUAGUAAUGUCCUCUUUCUUGAUCUGUUACAUUGGUGUGUUUAUUUCAUUAGAUUUAUUGAGCUAUACAUUUACCACCGUGUACUUGUCUCUGUAUAUGUUUUGCAUUGAAAUAAAUUUUACCAAUAAAAUGAUAAAGCAAAAU